CCUGCGUGAGAUUAGCUAGUUGGUGAGGUAAAGGCUCACCAAGGCGACGAUCUCUAGCUGGUCUGAGAGGAUGAUCAGCCACACUGGGACUGAGACACGGCCCAGACUCCUACGGGAGGCAGCAGUGGGGAAUCUUAGACAAUGGGCGCAAGCCUGAUCUAGCCAUGCCGCGUGUGUGAUGAAGGUCUUAGGAUCGUAAAGCACUUUCGCCAGGGAUGAUAAUGACAGUACCUGGUAAAGAAACCCCGAUGACUCCGAA
rnacentral:rRNA from 1 species